rnacentral:sRNA from 1 species
GACUUGAGAGAAUAUUAAACGUCCCAUUUAACAGAAUUGGCUGAUUAAUGUGAAUGGAUAGUGAGGAAGGAGGUGCCAGGCGCAUGGAUAGCAGUAGCUGAUGUGAAAUGCUUACUCUGCGUUAGGCACGUUACACGCAUUAUCUCACUUAAUCCCACAACCACCCUAUAAGCAAGAUUGUAUUAUUAUCCACAUUUUAUAGGUGGCAUUGAAGCCCGUCAGAGUGGUCAAUCGAAACGACAUAGCUAGUAUGUGUUGGUAGUAAGUGGUGGUGUGAGGAGGGUUUGGACCUAUGUGGUAGCUCUACCAGCUGGCUGGGUCUUCAGUGCCAUGUGACUAGGAGGUAAAGCGACCUCCCUAGUUAGCAGUGAAUGAAUGGCCAAUUCCGGGCAGAAGCCUGCUGGAACCAUCUUCUGCUCUGGAGAGCUCACAGUUAGGUGGCUCUGAUGCCACAUCGGCCAUAGAUGUGUUAUGUUUGCCUCACAGAAUAUUUUAAGACCAUGUUUAGAAUUAAUUGGUACCUUUUUGAAAUGCAGAGAUUCACAUUAAAAAGUGAGUUUCUGGCUUUUCUUGGAAAAUGAGAAGAUCUGGCCACACUGGGCCCAUGUAGGAACUGGAGUUGCUUCUCUCUGUUUCCUUCCGCUGGGGCCUGGGCACCCCAGUUGGCCAGGCCCCCCUGGCCUGCCUGGGGUCCCUGCCACCUCCGCAGGCACCUGGGUCUGCCUUUCUGCUGUUCUGUCACGAGGUGCGCCACUCAGCUUGGCUUUGACACCAGGCUGUGUUUGUGCAUUUAAUGCAUGCCAAGCCCAGGCCUCCACUGAUGGCUAAAUACCUUUUCUGAAUUGUAGGCAAUAUAAGAUAAAAACAUGCUGUGGGAAUUGAGAAAAACUAAAUGCCCACUCAUGCUUGAGUGCCCACAGGGAGAAGGGUUCUGCACAGGUAGUGCAGGAAAAAGGCAAAUGGCCAUAGUUCCUGAAACCAGCAUAAAUUAAAACAAAAUACAAAUAGUACCCUGGAAAAUGGCAAGUAACAGCUUAUUGCCAGUAUGCGAAUCACGUUGUGAUUUUUUAAAAAUUUGUUUUGUAAGAAAUAAUUUGCUUGAA